AUGUUUUUGCAAAGAAAAUAAAAUCGCCGCAGCAUUUUUAUGAUUUAAACACGGUGGGUUACGAAAUUAUGUAUUUGCAGCGAUUUUGGCCUUCUAACGGCAAAAACUUUCGCCGCAAGUUUAAAAACUACUGCCAACGGGAUAAAAUCGAUGAGAUUGAGCUGGGGCACCAAAACCCACUACAAAUUUGAAUCCCCCCCCUCCCCCGAGCCCUCCCCCGAGCCCUACCCAGUCUUCACUUUUUAUCAUUGUACCCCCUUCUCCACUUCGACCUUCUUCCUCGAGCCUGUGCACUGCCGCCCCUUCCCACGUUAUGCCUCUACCGAGACGUCGCCGUCGUCGCCUCGCCUAGCAGGGAAAUCAGUUGAUACCCCUCAAGAGGCGCUUACCAUUAUUGAUAUUGUCUUGCGGCAACUGCCAGGCCAAAGGUAUGUAUCAGUCGGAAGGUUUCUAUAUUCUCCUGAUAUUAAAAAACUGCAGCAGCUUGGCGGUGGCUUAGAAUCAUGGAGAGGUUUCUACCAGAGUAUUAGACCUACUCAGAUGGGACUAUCCCUGAAUAUUGGGUCAUAAGUUAUUCCAGUAUUACCCCCAAGUGAGAUCUCAAAGCUUCAAGGACAGAGCAAACAUUGUGGAUGGCAACCUGAAUAUUCUUAGUGACAGAAUAGAAGAAUUGAAGAGAAAGGAGACGAGAUCACUCACAUGCAGUAGUACUAGUACUACUACAGCAACUCAGUAGCUCUUGAAAAGAGAGUGGUGCUAUGGGGCUGGUUAUGAUCAUAGAUAUAAGCGGGAUGCCAUGUUCUCACAGUCUAUAGUGCUUAUGGCUUUAGCCUCUGGUGCUUGUGGCCUUGUGUUUCUCACCGGGUUUUUUUCCAUCUGCCUUGUAUCUCUUCUUCUUCAUUUAUUUCAGCACUAGCUGCUUAUUGAUGAUCUAUAUAUCAAGCCAACCAUAUUAUGCAUGCAUGUCGAAUAAUUCACGUAAUUAAGAUUUUUGGUCUCAAAUUAAAUACUUGUUUUCAAUUAUUCAUCUAUAGUUGAAAUCUAAUAGCGUCAAUAAAGCAUAAAUGAGACUACAACAUUAACAGCUAUGGCCUUUUCUUUUAUCCAAGAGUUAUGGCUUUUAUUUAACUGUUAUAGUAACAAUAUUAUAUAGGAAACCUUGGUUACUAGACUAUGAUGACUUUGCCAUUUAUUGUUACUCAGAAUUGAUGACAUUGGCAUGAAUGUGUUGGACCAGAUUGCCUGUACGUACAACUCAAUCACCCCCAUCUAUGCUUUUGCCUGUGCAACAGCUUGAAGAUUUGAGAAGCUGUCUACAACAAAGAUAUAUACUACUCCAUGUAUUAGUUUAGUACAAGCUGGUUGUGUUGCCCUUGAAUUUAAGUUACAUAUGAUCAGCUACCUUAA